rnacentral:misc_RNA from 1 species
AGCUGCAUUGCAGCAUUGUCAACGUACAUGUGUGAAAGUUCAACAUCAGGGUAUUCCGAAGCCAUCAUUGUCACUCUUCUCCGCCAUAGCAUAGAUGCCUCUAACACAUUUGCUUUGUCAACUGAGCAAAGUUUACCACGUCUUGUUCGAGCAACCUCAAAUGCCACUCUUGCAAUCCGAUCAAUCUCGGAUGCAGAAUAGACUUCAGUGUUGAAACCGAUCUCUUCACCAUUGUUAUUAGUAGCAAAACCCUUGGGUUCUCCAAAAUAAAUUCCUCCCGUAAGUUCUCUUACAACCAUGAUAUCAACCCCCUCUGCAAUCUCUCUCUUCAGAGUGGAUGCAUCAACUAGCUGCGGCAACACGGUUGCCGGCCUCAAGUUCGCAAACACCCCAAGCCCCGCCCGCAGCUGAAGCAGCCCCGUUUCAGGCUUCAGCUUCUUCUCAUUACCAUCCCAUUUAUACCCUCCCAUGGCCCCAAGCAGCACUCCAUCUGACUCCUUAGCCGCCUUCAGCGUCUCCUCCGGUAACGGCACACCAACCAAAUCCAACGCUGCGCCACCGACAGGCAUCUCACGGAAGCGGAACUCAAUCCCUUCAAGGGAGCCGGCGAGGGAGAGGACGGCCUUGGCGACGGAGAUGACCUCCGGGCCGAUGCCGUCACCAGGGAGAACGGUGACGGCGUAGCUUCUGGAGGGAGGCGCGGCUGAGCAGCGGGUGGCGGCAGCGCGCCGCCGCAGAGUGGGGUUUAGGGUUUUGAGGCGUGGAGAGGGGUUGAUUUGCAGUGUGGCAGAGCGGGUAGAGGCAGAGAGGAGAUGGGGCUGGUUGCCGCCGGUAAGAACGGAGCUCAUCAUUCUCGGCGGCGGCCUGCAGCGGCGGUGG